rnacentral:rRNA from 1 species
GGCUUCCGUAGGUGAACCUGCGGAAGGAUCAUUA